UACGUAGGGGGCAAGCGUUGUCCGGAAUUAUUGGGCGUAAAGAGCGUGUAGGCGGUCCGGUAAGUCGGCUGUGAAAGUCCAGGGCUCAACCCUGGGAUGCCGGUCGAUACUGCCGGACUAGAGUUCGGAAGAGGCGAGUGGAAUUCCCGGUGUAGCGGUGAAAUGCGCAGAUAUCGGGAGGAACAGCUAUGGCGAAGGCAGCUCGCUGGGACGUUACUGACGCUGAGACGCGAAAGCGUGGGGAGCAAACAGG
rnacentral:rRNA from 1 species